GACGAACGCUGGCGGCGUGCCUAAUACAUGCAAGUAGAACGCAGUUGCGAACGGGUGAGUAAAGCGUAGGUAACUGCCUGGUAGAGGGGGGUAAAUAUUGGAAAAGAUAGCUAAUACCGCAUACUACCAGAUGGACCUGCGUUGUAUUAGCUAGUUGGUGAGGUAACGGAUCACCAAGGCAACGAUACAUAGCCGACCUGCGAGGGUGAUCGGCCACACUGGGACUGAGACACGGCCCCGACUCCUACGGGAGGCAGCAGUAGGGAAUUGUCGGCAAUGGGGGGAACCCUUACCGAGCAACGCCGCGUGAGUGAAGAAGGUUUUCGGAUCGUAAAGCUCCUUUGUUAAGGAAGCGGUACUUAACCAGAAAGGGACGGCUAACUACGUGCCAGCAGCCGCGGUAAUAC
rnacentral:rRNA from 1 species